GGGUGUUCAAAAAUUCUCUCCGCAGUAAGUAUUUAAUGGUUUUCGGGCGAUUCUUGUACACUGAUCCUUUACUUUCUUCCCAGGAAAAAAGUCUGGUGGUGUUAAAUCAGGUGAUCUUGGUGGCCAAAGUCCCUUCGAAAUAAUCCGUCCACCGAAAAACUCUUGAAGUAGCACCAUGGUGAUGCGCAGGAUG